rnacentral:rRNA from 1 species
UGAGGAAUAUUGGUCAAUGGGCGAGAGCCUGAACCAGCCAAGUAGCGUGUGGGACGAAUGCCCUAUGGGUUGUAAACCACUUUUGCAGGAGGGUAAAAUGCUUCACGUGUGGAGUAUUGCAAGUAUCCUGCGAAUAAGGACCGGCUAAUUCCGUGCCAGCAGCCGCGGUAAUACGGAGGAUGCGAGCGUUAUCCGGAUUUAUUGGGUUUAAAGGGUGCGCAGGCGGCGCGCCAAGUCAGCGGUCAAAGUUCCGGGCUCAACCCGGUGUCGCCGUUGAAACUGGCGUGCUCGAGUGCGUGCGAGGAAGGCGGAAUGCGUUGUGUAGCGGUGAAAUGCAUAGAUAUGACGCAGAACUCCGAUUGCGAAGGCAGCUUUCCAGCGCGCUACUGACGCUGAGGCACGAAAGCGUGGGGAUCGAACAGGAUUAGAUACCCUGGUAGU